GAGCAUCUCAUGGUUACACGACGACUCAUUUUAAACCAAAACAGAAGUUAUCCCUAAAAGAGAAAUUAAAUAACGAUUACGCAUCCACAGGGAACCAAAGCAUAUGGGUAUUAAUCAAUGUACAAAUCUGUAUCAUAUAGUAACCAGAUUCUUACAAAUGGAAGGAGUUAGAUCCAAACGCAGAUUCCGACGAAGCUUCAAAUUCUCCGGGCUUAUUUGGUUGAAUGGUGCAACAGGUGGAUCAAUGGACUGCAUUAUGGUUUAUGUGUUCCACUGUAGGUUGCAUUGUGUUGAUGUGGUUUUGGUGCAAGAAGCAGUCACACGGUUAUGCAGUAGGCCUUUUAGAUUAUGCAUUGAUGCUUCCUUGAUGUUUCUGCAUGGUCACUUUGCAGCAGGUUUACAUGGUUCGUAUUGCUCAUGUUGCUGACUACUUGCUUCAGGUUGUGAUGCUACUUAUACAACUUGGAUUUAAUGGUCUAUUUGCAGCAUGGAUGUAUAUCCUGUAGGUGUGUAUGCUUUGGGUCUGCAGCAGGGUUUAUGCCAUGAGUUCAGUCUGUGUCUAUAGCCAUUGCAGGUUGUCUAUCCAUGUGAUGCAGGACUGAUUUGGUUUAAGCAACAUGGAAUCAUUGCCUUGGUUUUUCCUAGCUUCCAUUCUGAUUUAUGAUUGCAUUGUAGCUAAGUUUGUAAGGUCCAAAGCCUACUUCAAUUGGCCUAUGUGUGUUAUGAAUUCUGACCUCACUCAUGCUAGGUUUCUUGGCAUGGUUAUUCACAUAUGAAGUGGAUUAUUGCACAAGGCUUGCCAAAAUGAAAGACAUCCCUUUUGAAAUUUGAAGUAUCAAUGAUAAAUGGUCAAUCAUCAAGUAGUAACUUUGGAGAUUAGGAAUAGAAUUUAGGACCUUGGGUUGUAAAAUGGUUAAGUUGACUUUGGUCAAAGUUGACCAAAAAGUUAAUAGUUGGCCAAAGUUAACAUUUGGUCAACAUGACCUUUUUUGUUGUUGCAAUUUUCCAUGUUUUGGACAUUUGUAAUGAUUUGUAAUGGAAUUUGAUAUUUUCUAUGGUAUUGGAUUGGUAUUUGAAUGAAUGACUUUGAUGUUCAUAUUAUCUUGUAUGAACAUGGUAUUUGAAA